GACGAACGCUGCCUGCGUGCUUAACACAUGCAAGUCGAACGGAAAGGCCCUGCUUUUGUGGGGUGCUCGAGUGGCGAACGGGUGAGUAACACGUGAGUAACCUGCCCUUGACUUUGGGAUAACUUCAGGAAACUGGGGCUAAUACCGGAUAGGAGCUCCUGCUGCAUGGUGGGGGUUGGAAAGUUUCGGCGGUUGGGGAUGGACUCGCGGCUUAUCAGCUUGUUGGUGGGGUAGUGGCUUACCAAGGCUUUGACGGGUAGCCGGCCUGAGAGGGUGACCGGCCACAUUGGGACUGAGAUACGGCCCAGACUCCUACGGGAGGCAGCAGUGGGGAAUAUUGCACAAUGGGCGGAAGCCUGAUGCAGCAACGCCGCGUGCGGGAUGACGGCCUUCGGGUUGUAAACCGCUUUCGCCUGUGACGAAGCGUGAGUGACGGUAAUGGGUAAAGAAGCACCGGCUAACUACGUGCCAGCAGCCGCGGUGAUACGUAGGGUGCGAGCGUUGUCCGGAUUUAUUGGGCGUAAAGGGCUCGUAGGUGGUUGAUCGCGUCGGAAGUGUAAUCUUGGGGCUUAACCCUGAGCGUGCUUUCGAUACGGGUUGACUUGAGGAAGGUAGGGGAGAAUGGAAUUCCUGGUGGAGCGGUGGAAUGCGCAGAUAUCAGGAGGAACACCAGUGGCGAAGGCGGUUCUCUGGGCCUUUCCUGACGCUGAGGAGCGAAAGCGUGGGGAGCGAACAGGCUUAGAUACCCUGGUAGUCCACGCUGUAAACGGUGGGUACUAGGUGUGGGGUCCAUUCCACGGGUUCCGUGCCGUAGCUAACGCUUUAAGUACCCCGCCUGGGGAGUACGGCCGCAAGGCUAAAACUCAAAGGAAUUGACGGGGCCCCGCACAAGCGGCGGAGCAUGCGGAUUAAUUCGAUGCAACGCGUAGAACCUUACCUGGGUUUGACAUGGAUCGGGAGUGCUCAGAGAUGGGUGUGCCUCUUUUGGGGUCGGUUCACAGGUGGUGCAUGGCUGUCGUCAGCUCGUGUCGUGAGAUGUUGGGUUAAGUCCCGCAACGAGCGCAACCCUUGUUCACUGUUGCCAGCACGUUAUGGUGGGGACUCAGUGGAGACCGCCGGGGUCAACUCGGAGGAAGGUGGGGAUGACGUCAAGUCAUCAUGCCCCUUAUGUCCAGGGCUUCACGCAUGCUACAAUGGCUGGUACAGAGAGUGGCGAGCCUGUGAGGGUGAGCGAAUCUCGGAAAGCCGGUCUCAGUUCGGAUUGGGGUCUGCAACUCGACCUCAUGAAGUCGGAGUCGCUAGUAAUCGCAGAUCAGCAACGCUGCGGUGAAUACGUUCCCGGGGCU
rnacentral:rRNA from 1 species